rnacentral:lncRNA from 1 species
CUUGGAGCUCUGUAAGAUAUUCGCUAUAUGACCAUGCACUGCACUGUGACAUUUGAGUUAGUGACAGAGUGCACAUAAGACUACAAGGAGUGAUAAAAAUGUUCAGUGAAGACUGAAAGAUAACAAAUUACUACCUUCGAAGACACACUGCCACUAGUCUCUCUCAGAAUACCCUUCGGUUUCACACACUCAUCCCAUCGUUCUUGCCAUCUGUGAAGCAGUUCUGGAGGUUCUUUCGCAAGUGACUUCAUGGCCUGUGGUCCAAGGUGCAGAAUGCUAGAACCACACCGUCUGAUGGAAAUGCAGGCUCAUGAAAAGCAUUUCACUGUGUCCUCAUCCACCUUAUUCUUAGGAUCCGGCCCACAAAAGGUAAACGCUUUGAAUCAGUUCAGGACGUUGAGGCAGCCACAAGCUCACCACUGAAGUAAUUCUCAAAGGAAGACUUCUGAAACAGCGUCAGAAGUGACAAGAUGAUGGGAAAAGUAUGUUCACAGCCGGCAUCCGGCCUGCACAGUUGCUCAGCCGCAGGUUUUCGUCUGCCCCAAAGUCCGCUCCUGCUACGUGCAGAAAUGAUGCGUUGUGUCGACAGAAAAGCGCUGGGAAGUCUCUCUGGAAUGGCCGCCAUGGCGGCUGUCACUGCUCCCUUGUCCUGAUCUCCUUUACUGGCCCAGUGCACGCAUCCCCCAGCUGCUGUGGGGUUGGCGGCUAGAGGCUGACAGCUGCCCUCUGCUCCUUUGCGCAGAGAAUCACCUUUCGCUGAAGCAGAGCUGCUUUGCCUGAUAAGUCUUCCUCAAGGCCAGAGCAGUUGCACGGGCAGUUCCUCCUCAGGACUCCCUAGGAGGCUGCAGCUUGACCCUAGCUGAGGCCACAGGCUUGUUUAUCUCUUCCUGGGCCCUCCCCUGCCCCUUUGUACCCUUUCCCCUGAGAGUGUCCUUACGCCAGUGCAGUGGGCAGAAUCAGGCCAAGGUGGAUAGUAGGCUGUCCACUGAUGUUGCUGAAACGCUGUACUUUACUAGAAAAUGUGCCUGCAACUGAGGGACCCUCUCAUUUCCUGUUCUUUGGUACUGGGCUUGCAAAAACCGGAAACCGGAAAUAGACUUUGGAGUCUCUGAGUAGAUCAGUUAUGAGAAC